GGCUCCAUAGCCAAGUGGCUAAGGCACGGGUCUGCAACACCCAGAUCGUCAGUUCGAAUCUGACUGGAGCCUCCA
rnacentral:tRNA from 1 species